ACACUUUUAGCUUAAAAGGAUAAAAGCAUUAGUCUUCGAAACUAAUAUAUAUGGGUUCAAUUCCCAUAAAGUGUU
rnacentral:tRNA from 1 species